UUAUUUUGGCAGUCUGUAACAGGCUUUGGCUUCCAAGGAAAGUUCAGAUUUUAUUUGCUCUAAUAACCGUUUGUCUGUUUUUUGCAGCCCAUCUUUCCUCCAGCGCCGUAUUUCAGACGAGUUGGCUCUCUUCCUAUCCGCUUUCUUCGCCGUCCGACUUUCACAAAAUUGAAAUUGACUUUUGCACAGACCAUCUUCACCUUAUUUCUCUUUACGCUUCAGGACCUUGCCUAGUUCCUUCCUAGCUGCCCUUCCAGGUCCUAGUCGUCUUCCGAUUUCUUGGCUGCGGUUUCGCAUCUGAUCCAAGUUUCUUCCAGAUGUAUCGGCCUACAAGUCCCAUCGUCCUCGGUCAGCAUGAGGGAUGAUGCUGGAAGAAUGCACACCAGAUUUAUUGACAUGCGUUAUCUUUGAUAUCGAAGAUAUCCUCUUUCGUCCUCAUCCCACCACCGCCUUUGGUUUAAAUUCCACACCAGAAUUGCUGUGACUUCUGCUUUUUCAGGGCAUGAAGAGUUAUGACCAGA